rfam:Eubacterium sp. CAG:841 genomic scaffold, scf51
CCGAAUAAUCAGGGGUGCUGAGCAAUCGGCUGAGACGGAGAGAUCCGAACCCUUUACCUGAUAUGGAUAAUGCCAGCGUAGGGAGAUUGUAAUUUUAUUAC